rnacentral:tRNA from 1 species
GGGGGUUUAGCUCAGCAACAUAAGCAUCUGCCUUACAAGCAGGUGGUCGUGAGUUCGAUCCCCCCCCCCCCG